rnacentral:rRNA from 1 species
UAGAGUUUGAUCCUGGCUCAGGACGAACGCUGGCGGCGUGCUUAACACAUGCAAGUCGAACGAUGAAGCCCUUCGGGGUGGAUUAGUGGCGAACGGGUGAGUAACACGUGGGCAAUCUGCCCUUCACUCUGGGACAAGCCCUGGAAACGGGGUCUAAUACCGGAUAACACUUUGUCCCGCAUGGGACGGGGUUGAAAGCUCCGGCGGUGAAGGAUGAGCCCGCGGCCUAUCAGCUUGUUGGUGGGGUGAUGGCCUACCAAGGCGACGACGGGUAGCCGGCCUGAGAGGGCGACCGGCCACACUGGGACUGAGACACGGCCCAGACUCCUACGGGAGGCAGCAGUGGGGAAUAUUGCGCAAUGGGCGAAAGCCUGACGCAGCGACGCCGCGUGGGGGAUGAAGGUCUUCGGAUUGUAAACCCCUUUCGGGAGGGAAGAUGGGAUGGGGUAACCCAUUCGGACGGUACCUCCAGAAGCAGCCACGGCUAACUUCGUGCCAGCAGCCGCGGUAAUACGAAGGUGGCAAGCGUUGUUCGGAUUUACUGGGCGUACAGGGAGCGUANGCGGUUGGAUAACCCUCCGUGGAAUCUCCAGGCUACCCUGGGAAAGGCAGAGGGGACUGCUCACCUUNAGGAUGGGAGAGGAGCGCGGAAUUCCCGGUGUAACGGUGGAAUGCCUAAAAAUCGGGAGGAAAGGCCGGUGGCAAAAGGGGGCCUCUUGGAACAUUUUUGACCCUGAGGGCUCGAAGGGNGGGGGACACAACAGGAUAAAAUACCCUGGUAUUGCACGCCUUUAAAAAUGGGAACUAAGGGGCGGGGGGGGUACGCCCNNGGGCCGCACGUAACCAAUAAAGUAUCCCGCCGGGGAAGUAGGGCCC